rnacentral:lncRNA from 1 species
CACCCUCAACAGGAAGGGCUACGUAGGCUUUCAGAAGGAAGUCCAGAAGUGCUUGAGAAACGCACACUACCUGAAAGAUCGCCUCAAGGAAGCAGGAAUUGGAGCGAUGCUUAAUGAGCUCAGCAGCACGGUUGUGUUUGAAAGGCCAAAGGAUGAGGAGUUUGUCCGAAGGUGGCAGCUCGCCUGCGAGGGGAAUAUAGCCCAUGUUGUGGUGAUGCCCAGUGUCAACAUUGACAAGUUGGACUAUUUCCUGACUGAACUAGUGGAGAAGCGGGCAACCUGGUACCAGGAUGGAAUAAGUAAGCCACCCUGCCUUGCCAGAGACUUGGGCGUGGAGAACUGCCUCUGUGGCCUUCACAAGUAGUGUGAGCCUUUUGUGACGGGGGUGUUCAGUCGCGAGUUGAGUUAGUCCUCGCUAAUGUGUUAUGUUGU